CAUGUGCACACUUGUUGUCUUUAUAUCUCCACCUGUGCACCUAUUGUAGACCUGGAUAACUUUCUGAAUGCGCUAGCAUUUAGGUACGAGGAUUGACUUUCUGCCUCUCCUUACAUUUUCAGGCCUAUGUUCUUUCAUAUAACCUCAAUGUAUGUCAUGGAAUGUAUUACUUAUGGGCUUCUGUGCCCUAUAAACCUUAUACAACUUUCAGCAACGGAUCUCUUGGCUCUCGCAUCGAUGAAGAACGCAGCGAAAUGCGAUAAGUAAUGUGAAUUGCAGAAUUCAGUGAAUCAUCGAAUCUUUGAACGCACCUUGCACUCCUUGGUAUUCCGAGGAGUAUGCCUGUUUGAGUGUCAUUAAUAUAUCAACCUCUCAAGCUUUUUGCUUGUGGAGUGUAUGGAUGUGGGGGGAUUAUUUUGCUGGCCUUUUUCGUGAGGUCGGCUCCCCUGAAAUGCAUUGGCAGAAUGAUUUGCUGACCGUUUAUUGGUGUGAUAACUAUCUACGCUGUUGACGUGAAGCAAGUUCAGCUUAUAAUGGUCCAUUGACUUGGACAACAUAUUUAUUAAUGUGACCUCAAAUCAGGUAGGACUACCCGCUGAACUUAAGCAUAU
rnacentral:rRNA from 1 species